UACACCGCAGCGCUGAGACAGAAUGAGCGUGUAAUACGGUUUCUUAAGAAAGAAGUAUAUCAAUUAUUAGCAAAAACUAGUCAAUUGCUCUUUUAACCUGCAAUCACCUAUUUUUCUGCCUUCCAACUGCAUUAAGGAUAUUGUACAUUAAGAUGACAUCUUCAACGGAUCUUCAGUGUGAAGCUUUAAUCAACGAAUCUUUACGUAUUUUAGAUCCCAAUUUUACAUGCUCGUUGUACUUUAGAAAAUGCACCUUUAAAGACGUCGAAAACAAUUAACCAAACACAAGUGAUCUUUUGAGAUAAAGUUUUGGAUACUGCGUUGUUAUUCCUGUCAUUCUCACUUAUUGGGAAGCCGGCCUCUAAAUUUACUUUACUCCGAAUAAUUUGCGUUUUUUGUAUUUUCGUCACCUCACAUUGACAUCCGUCCCUCCAUUUUCAAGGUCGCGGGGAGCUGGAGCCUAUACUUUCUGCAACGGGCGCAAGCAGGAACCAACCUCGGACGGGACGCCUGUCCAUCGCAGGGCACUAACAAGACGUUCGCAUUAGAAUGAAAAACAAAUGGAUGCUGGCAAAAACAAAACCAUUUCAAAUGUGGAAUGCAUGGAAAAUGAGGUUAUCCUUUCACGGUCGAUUUCACUUGCUAAAUCGAGACAGUUUUUAGCAGGUACGUGUUUUAAGUAUGUUUUAAUGGCAUGUGUUAAUCUGCAUAUAAGUUAAAAUACUUUAUGGGUACUGGCGACGUUCAAUUACAAUUGUUACAAUCGAUAAUACAAUCGAAUCAAAAUUAAUAAUCUCCGUGUAAGACAAUCGAGACAAUGGGGGAUGAAUAUAUGAAUAAAUUCAUAUAACAAUUUGUAAAGAAAUAAAAACAAAUACAGUAUUCACAUUGACAGGCGGUAUGUGAGUUUUUAUUCACGGCGCAUCAGUAUAUUUAUUAAAUGUAUGAAUAAGUGCAUUAAUUACAAGCUAUUAAGCGAUUAUUUAAUAUCUGGACAUAGAAGGUAACAUGAUACAUCCAAAUUGAUAAAAAAAAACAUUUCUAGUAAGUGUUUAAAAAAUCUUAGGCUUCCAAAAACAGAAAGAGGCUAAAUUUAGUAAACUGUAUGAAGUUUAAAAGCUGUCAUUAUUGCCAGCAAAAUGAACACCAUUAAAGAUAACAUUUUUUUGUUGUUGUUACCGUGACGUUUAAUGAUGACGGUUUGAUACAUGAUUAAUUCAACAGACAGCGUAUGACAGAAACAAUAUUUUUAGUAAAAUGUAAAAAAAAAUCUGGCCAUACCAACGUACAGUAUAUGCAUUUUAAAUAACAUGUUAAAUAAGCGUUAGUAAUCAUGAUGCCAGCCGUUCUGUAUAAAAAGUGUCAUUAUAUGACUGUGGGUAAACGCUCAAAUUGCGGCUCUGUUAUUACGUCUCAUUUACACUAACCCACUUAAAAAAAAGUAUGUGACCAACCGACACCCCACCCCCCUACUACCCCCCACCACCGACACACGGGCGCGCGCACGCAAAAAAGCAGAGCCGUCUGCUUGAUGUAUACGUGAUAUCAUUUAUUCACUUGCAGCUAAUAUUUUACCUAAUACAAUAAAAUGGCGAAUGUUAUAAUUAUCUCAAUCUGCAUGUUGCAUAUCUGUUUUAACAUAGUACAGGCAAUGUAACUCGCAAUCGGCAUGCUAUAGACAGUCUUCGCGUGAGGCAAAGAAGUUAAAAAAGCAUAUAACCUCCUGCAGUCCGAAACAAUCCGUUUAGAAAGGGCGUCUAAGCAGAUCGACAGGUUUUAAUGCGAACAUUUUUUAACGCUUGCCCUGUACGUGGAUUGAUUUUUUUUCAGCAAUCCCUCAGCAGAUGGAUUUUUGCCAUUGCAGCUCAGCAGAGGGUGUCAGAUCUUCCAGAGAGCACCAGGCUGGAACGAACAGAGCCUCUUAGCAACCCUCUUUGUAAUUCAAAAACACAAAAAAGAGAGCAAGGGAAACACAGAAAGAAACGGAAAGAUGCAAGGAUUGCGGAAUUUUGCAACGCAUUUUGAUCAGCACUAAAUCUUUAGGCUGGGGCGUGAUUUCAGCACCAAGGGAGAAAGAACAGCACCUACCGAAAGCGCUGCACAGCAAGAAAAAAAACCAUGGUUUGAAAAUUUUUGCAAGUUUGACAUGUACAUUCUGAUUUUUACUUUACUACAACUGGAGACUUUUCUCAGUGAGCCAGAAAUGGAGAAAGAACCACAUUAACCCAUGUUGGCUGCCCUAAUUUAAAAGAAAAGUUCACCAUCUAAAUUCUACCAACAACGAAGACAUAGCUGGCACAUUAUAUUCAGAUAGGAUUAGUGACUCCAAAUUUGGAUCAAAUAGGAGUUCCAGAAAACAGUACUGGACUGCUGGUUGCUUUUUCUGAGAAACCGCCCAAUAAGGGCACCUAGUUCCUGCCGCUUUAAAUUUAGCCACCAUAAAACCCGGAAGUUCCAGUAGAAGGCGUCUUUGGAAAACCAGGGCCUACUGCAGGACAGAGCACUGUCUUAUCGACACUAAACAAAGUUGUUUUCUGUUUCCAUUUAUGAGAAUUCCCAGUCUGUUUUCUGUGGUGGCGACCUGCACCACCACCACCUAAUCAA